CUGUCCUAUGAUGCCUUCAGUGA
rnacentral:piRNA from 1 species